CUUGUCAUCGUGUAUGUGUGUGUAUGUGUGUGUGCGUGUGUGUAAUGAUAGUACGUGUGUGUGUGUGUGUGUGUGGUUGUGGCUGUUUUUCUAUGUGUGGUUGGGCUUAGUAUCGUUUAAGGUCAUGG